GUCUACGGCCAUACCACCCUGAACACGCCCAAUCUCGUCUGAUCUCGGAAGCUAAGCAGGGUCGGCCUGGUUAGUAUUUGGAUGGGAGGAAGCAGAGUCACAAUCGAAA
rnacentral:rRNA from 1 species